rnacentral:rRNA from 1 species
UACGUAGGGGGCAAGCGUUGUCCGGAUUUAUUGGGCGUAAAGAGCGUGUAGGCGGUUUGGUAGGUCCGCUGUGAAAACUCGAGGCUCAACCUCGGGCCUGCAGUGGGUACGGGCAGACUAGAGUGCGGUAGGGGAGAUUGGAAUUCCUGGUGUAGCGGGUGGAAUGCGCAGAUAUCAGGAGGAACACCAAUGGCGAAGGCAGAUCUCUGGGCCGUAAGCUGACGCUGGAGGCGCGAAAGCAUGGGGAGCGAACGGG